rnacentral:rRNA from 1 species
CGUCUCAGCCACACCACCCUGGACACGCCAGACCGCAUCUCCCCUCCGAAGCUAAGCGGGGUCAGGCCGGGUUAGUAGGUGGAUGGGAGAA